ACGAGAGAGGGGCUUCGGCUCCAGGGGCUCAUACCCCGCACUCUUCACCCUAUGUGUAUCAACCGCUGUUGCUUUGGCGGGCUCCGGGCUUCGGCUCGGCUCCAGUUCUGGGCUACCUUUGACCGGUGUCCGCCCGCCAAAGACCUUCAAAAUCCUUUUGUAUCAGUGUAGUCUGAGCUAUGAAGCAAAUCAAACAAAACUUUCAACAACGGAUCUCUUGGUUCUGGCAUCGAUGAAGAACGCAGCGAAAUGCGAUAAGUAAUGUGAAUUGCAGAAUUCAGUGAAUCAUCGAAUCUUUGAACGCACAUUGCGCCCCUUGGUAUUCCGAGGGGCAUGCCUGUUCGAGCGUCAUUGCACCUCUCAAGCUCUGCUUGGUAUUGAGCGCUCGCCGCCCCUUCGCCGGGCGGCGUGCUCAAAAACUAGUGGCGGUCCUCGGAGACUUCAAGCGCAGUAAUACCGCCGCUUUAGAAGCCAUCUUCGUGAGGGCCCGGCCAACCACCCCCCAUUUUUCAAUGAUUGACCUCGGAUCAGGUAGGGAUACCCGCUGAACUUAAGCAUAUCAAU
rnacentral:rRNA from 1 species